rnacentral:rRNA from 1 species
CCUACGGGUGGCUGCAGUCGAGGAUAUUUAGCAAUGGGGGAAACCCUGACUAUGUGACGCCGCGUGAGGGAUGAAGGUUCUCGGAUCGUAAACCUCUUUCGAUGGAGAAGAAGUCUUUAGCUCUAACAUAGUUAAAGAUUGACGGUACCCAGAGAAGAAGCCACGGCCAACUCCGUGCCAGCAGCCGCGGUAAUACGGGGGUGGCAAGCGUUACUCGGAUUUAUUGGGUGUAAAGGACAGGUAGGCGUUCUGCCAAGUUAGAAGUGAAAUCCUAAGGCUUAACCUUAGAACUGCUUCUAAAACUGGCGGAAUUGAGGCUAGAAGAGAAGAGCGGAAUUCCCGGUGUAAGGGUGAAAUCUGUAGAUAUCGGGAGGAACACCAGUGGCGAAAGCGGCUCUUUGGUCUAGAUCUGACGCUAAACUGUGAAAGCUAGGGGAGCAAACAGGAUUAGAUACCCCAGUANUC